CCCGCGGUAGCUCAAUUUGGCAGAGCAUCUGACUGUAGAUCAGAGGGUUGCCAGUUCAAAUCUGGCCCGCGGGA
rnacentral:tRNA from 1 species